GUUGGUGAAGUGUCUGCUUUGUGCUCAGGUCAGGACCCAGGGUCCUGGGAUCGAGCCCUGUGUCGGGCUCCGUACUCAGCAGGAAGCCUACUUCUCCCUCUCCCUCUGCCAUUCCCCCCGCUGGUCCUGUCUAGCUCUAUCUCUCGGUGAAAUAAAUUUAAAAAAACUUUUUUUUUUUUUUAAAGACACUGUUCAUGAAUGAGAAAGGCCUCAUGGAGAUGUGGGUACAGUACGGUGACCAUAUCAUACUGUGUUGUGUAUUUGAAAGUUGCCAAGCAGAUCUUAAAAGUGUUCAUCACAAGGAAAACGGUUUUGUGACAAUGUGUGAUGAUGCAUGUUCCCUAGACUUACUGUGGUGAUCGUUUUGUGAAAUAUACCAACGCUGAAAAAAUGCGAGUGUUGAAUCAUUCUAUUGUACAACUGAAACUAAUAUAAUGUCCUGUGUCAAUUAUGUCUAAAGAAAAAAAAGAAAAAGGGAAAUGAGAAUGACCUAUAUAGUUUUCUGGCUUGUGCUUUUAUUUUUUUUUUAAAGAUUUUAUUUAUUCAUUCAUGAGAGACAGAGAGAGAGGCAGACACACAGGCAGAGGGAGAAGCAGGCUCCAUGCACAGGGAGCCCGACGUGGGACUCGAUCCCGGGACCCCGGGGUCAUGCCCUGGGCCGAAGGCAGACGCUCAACCGCUGAGCCCCCGGGUGCCCCUGCCUUGUACUUUUCUCGGCUCUGGAUUCCACGUUAUGUGAUUACAGGACGCACGUUUGCAUCUGUCUACCACCACCUCGGCGCUGAGUCCUGGCCCCAAAUGUCUUUUUUUCCCCUGGGACUUAUAAAUCGAAGUAUUUUCUCUAACUGCAAUCUUGGGUAGGUCAGUGAACCAAUCUGCAAAAACAGUCUUAAGCCUGCAAGUUCCUCCUCGAAAGAAGCCCACACGUUCUGCAAGUGUCAACGUCACGGUUCGGGGUCACUCCAGGAGCACCCGUCUCGCAGAGGCUCCUCUAAGGGCCGCCCCUUGCUUCGUGUGGGUUUUUCCUGCAGGGUCGCCUCCGAAUCUACAGUGGAAUCUGCACCAACACUGGCUUCCAGUCCCAGGGCUUUGCUGCAGGUGAGCGAGGGUCUCCCGAGGCCUCGGGGUGCAGGAGAACAGAGGGUGCGAGCCCCCCAGAAGGCGCCGCGGUUUGCACGUUGCACCUCCAGGGCCCGGCAGCAGGGGUCACUACAUGAAAAGUUAUGAUCGGGUGGCAGGUUCCCACGGCUUCGGGUGUGAGCUCGCCGCCCGGGGCUGGGGUCUGUGGGCUGCAGGGCUCAGACGUCACUGCGGCCUCUGCACCGUCAGCCGCUCCCCGGGGCGCGCUGCUGCGAAGGGCAAAUCAGGUUCAUCUAUUUCAGACUGUUCUUUAUGAACCUUCCAGGUGGUCAUACAUACCAAGAACAUAAUAAAAUAUCCCCAUAAAG